UACAGAGGUCCCAAGCGUUACUGAGAAUCACUGGGUUUAAAGGGUGCGUAGGCGGCUUGGUAUGUCGGGUGUGAAAUCCCCGGGCUCAACCUGGGAACUGCAUCCGAAACUGCCUUGCUAGAGUAUGGGAGAGGGAAGUGGAAUUUCCGGUGUAGCGGUGAAAUGCGUAGAUAUCGGAAGGAACAUCAGUGGCGAAGGCGACUUCCUGGACCAAUACUGACGCUCAGGUGCGAAAGCGUGGGGAGCAAACAGG
rnacentral:rRNA from 1 species